AUACGUAGGGGGCGAGCGUUGUCCGGAAUGAUUGGGCGUAAAGGGCGCGUAGGCGGCCUGUUAAGUCUGGAGUGAAAGUCCUGUUUUCAAGAUGGGAAUUGCUUUGGAUACUGUCGGGCUUGAGUGCAGGAGAGGUAAGUGGAAUUCCCAGUGUAGCGGUGAAAUGCGUAGAGAUUGGGAGGAACACCAGUGGCGAAGGCGACUUACUGGACUGUAACUGACGCUGAGGCGCGAAGGUGCGGGUAUCAAACAGGAUUAGAUACCCUGGUAGUCCGCACAGUAAACGAUGGACACCCGCGGUUUGGCCUGUAUGGCUGAGCCGCCAAGCGAAAGCGUUAAGUGUCCCACCUGGGGAGUACGCCGGCAACGGUGAAACUCAAAGGAAUUGACGGGG
rnacentral:rRNA from 1 species